rnacentral:rRNA from 1 species
GACGAACGCUGGCGGCGUGCCUAAUACAUGCAAGUAGAACGCUGAAGGAGGAGCUUGCUCUUCUGGAUGAGUUGCGAACGGGUGAGUAACGCGUAGGUAACCUGCCUGGUAGCGGGGGAUAACUAUUGGAAACGAUAGCUAAUACCGCAUAAGAGUAGAUGUUGCAUGACAUUUGCUUAAAAGGUGCAAUUGCAUCACUACCAGAUGGACCUGCGUUGUAUUAGCUAGUUGGUGGGGUAACGGCUCACCAAGGCGACGAUACAUAGCCGACCUGAGAGGGGGAUCGGCCACACUGGGACUGAGACACGGCCCAGACUCCUACGGGAGGCAGCAGUAGGGAAUCUUCGGCAAUUGACGGAAGUCUGACCGAGCAACGCCGCGUGAGUGAAGAAGGGUGUCGGAUCGUAAAGCUCUGUUGUAAGAGAAGAACGAGUGUGAGAGUGGAAAGUUCACACUGUGACGGUAGCUUAACAGAAAGGGACGGCUAACUACGUG